UUACGGCCAUAUCACGUUGAAGCACCGGUUCCAGUACGAUCCCCAAAGUUAAGCAACGUCGAGCCUGGUCAGUACAUACAUUGGUAACUACUUUGGAUUACCAGCUGCUGUAU